rnacentral:rRNA from 1 species
GCCGCAAACCUAGUUGUUAAGAUCGUCCCGUAGUAAAAAUCAAACAAAACAUUUGGAUUGGCCAGUAGUGGGGAAAGAAAACAAGCACAAAACACUAUAGAGGAAGUACCGCAAGGGAACGGAAAUUAAAGCAAUAAAAAGCAAAGAUAAAACCUUGUACCUUUCGCAUCAUGGUUUAGCAAGACACGCCGGGCAAGGAGGCCCCAAGCCCGAAAACCCGAAACCAAGUGAGCUACCCCCCGACAGGAAACGAACCCUUCUCUGUGGCAAAAGAGUGGGAAGAUUGGCGGGUAGUGGUGAAAAGCCUAUCGAACUUGGCGAUAGCUGGUUGCCCAAAGCUGAAUUUAAGUUCUACCCUGAGCGCCGCCCAAUACCAAAUGGGGCACAGGAGCACUCAUUAGAGGAACAGCCCUAAUGAGAGGGGACACAACCCCCGCCUGAGAGUAAGCGAAAACAUUUUUCAGUAGGCCUUAAAGCAGCCACCCAUAAAAACAGCGUCAAAGCGUCAAACCACCAAUUCACAACAUAUUUACCACCUCCAGCAAGAAUCAGGGCAACUCUACCCCCGUAGAAAAACUAAUGCUAAAACUACUAAUAAGGAGCCUUCCCCUCUUAAGCACACCCAUCGGUUGGAAACGGACUAACCACCAACAAUUAUCACAACAAAGAAAACUCAGACCACAAACCUUUUAUACACUGUGACACCAACACAGGUGUGCCCUAAAGAAAGAUGCAAAGCCAUAGAAGGAACUCGGCAACCACUGACCCCAACUGUUUACCAAAAACAUAACCUUUAGCCCACCAAAUAUUAAAGGCAUCGCCUGCCCAGUGAGAUCGUCUUUUAAACGGCCGCGGUACCNUAACCGUGCAAAGGUAGCAUAAUCACUUGUCUAUUAAUCAUAGAAUAGUAUGAAAGGCUGCAUGAGGGUCAAUCUGUCUCCUGUGGCCCAUCAAUGAAACUGAUCUUGCAGUCCAAAAGCUGUAAUAAUAACAUAAGACGAGAAGACCCUGUGAAACUUUCAACCACCUUUUUCCCAAGGAAAAAGUACUUUUAGUUGGGGCAACUUUGGAAAAAAAUAAAACUUCCAAACACCUAGAACACCCACUACAACAAGGCUAACACGCCCACCUUACGAUCCAGCCCACCUGAUAAAUGAACAAAGCUACUCCAGGGAUAACAGCGCCAUCUUCUUCAAGAGCCCAUAUCAAAAAGAAGGUUUACGACCUCGAUGUUGGAUCAGGGCACCCCAGUGGCGCAGCCACUACUAAAGGUUCGUUUGUUCAACGAUUAAUAGC